AACGGGGAGGAGCCCAGAGCCUGAAUCAGUGUGUGUGUUAGUGGAAGCGUCUGGAAAGGCGCGCGAUACAGGGUGACAGCCCCGUACACAAAAAUGCACAUAUUGUGAGCUCGAUGAGUAGGGCGGGACACGUGGUAUCUUGUCUGAAUAUGGGGGGACCAUCCUCCAAGGCUAAAUACUCCUGACUGACCGAUAGUGAACCAGUACCGUGAGGGAAAGGCGAAAAGAACCCCGGCGAGGGGAGUGAAAAAGAACCUGAAACCGUGUACGUACAAGCAGUGGGAGCCUCUUAAUGGGGUGACUGCGUACCUUUUGUAUAAUGGGUCAGCGACUUAUAUUCUGUAGCAAGGUUAACCGAAUAGGGGAGCCGAAGGGAAACCGAGUCUUAACUGGGCGUUAAGUUGCAGGGUAUAGACCCGAAACCCGGUGAUCUAGCCAUGGGCAGGUUGAAGGUUGGGUAACACUAACUGGAGGACCGAACCGACUAAUGUUGAAAAAUUAGCGGAUGACUUGUGGCUGGGGGUGAAAGGCCAAUCAAACCGGGAGAUAGCUGGUUCUCCCCGAAAGCUAUUUAGGUAGCGCCUCGUGAAUUCAUCUCCGGGGGUAGAGCACUGUUUCGGCAAGGGGGUCAUCCCGACUUACCAACCCGAUGCAAACUGCGAAUACCGGAGAAUGUUAUCACGGGAGACACACGGCGGGUGCUAACGUCCGUCGUGAAGAGGGAAACAACCCAGACCGCCAGCUAAGGUCCCAAAGUCAUGGUUAAGUGGGAAACGAUGUGGGAAGGCCCAGACAGCCAGGAUGUUGGCUUAGAAGCAGCCAUCAUUUAAAGAAAGCGUAAUAGCUCACUGGUCGAGUCGGCCUGCGCGGAAGAUGUAACGGGGCUAAACCAUGCACCGAAGCUGCGGCAGCGACACUAUGUGUUGUUGGGUAGGGGAGCGUUCUGUAAGCCUGUGAAGGUGGCCUGUGAGGGUUGCUGGAGGUAUCAGAAGUGCGAAUGCUGACAUAAGUAACGAUAAAGCGGGUGAAAAGCCCGCUCGCCGGAAGACCAAGGGUUCCUGUCCAACGUUAAUCGGGGCAGGGUGAGUCGACCCCUAAGGCGAGGCCGAAAGGCGUAGUCGAUGGGAAACAGGUUAAUAUUCCUGUACUUGGUGUUACUGCGAAGGGGGGACGGAGAAGGCUAUGUUGGCCGGGCGACGGUUGUCCCGGUUUAAGCGUGUAGGCUGGUUUUCCAGGCAAAUCCGGAAAACCAAGGCUGAGGCGUGAUGACGAAGCACUACGGUGCUGAAGC
rnacentral:rRNA from 1 species